AACCUAGUUCCUUAGUCAUUCGAGAUCAGGACUGGAGAAAGCUUCAAAAUGGCUAGUUUGCGACAUGUUGUGUGGUUACCUUGGUGUUUUCUCAUGUUCCUGUCAUUCGGAUCAUCCAGUGAUCUCUACAGAUGUCCAAAGAUUAGCGGGGGAAUAAUGAGGGAUUUCAGUGGGAAGUGCUACCGAUUUGUUCCCACUGACAAAACGUGGAAUGAAGCACAGUUCGAUUGUCACAGGCGGGGAGGUAAUCUUGUUCACAUCAAGAAUCGAUCAACACAGAACUUCAUCUACAACACUGUCAAACACGAUCUCGGUUGGAAGGUGAACGGGAUGUGGAUUGGUGCGCAUGACAGGACGGAGUCAAAUAAUUAUGAGUGGGUUAAUGGUGAUCGACAAACCCGAGGGACACCUGUGACUUGGAGCUUUUGGGCUUCCGGUCAGCCGUCUUGUAGUUUUUGGGGUUGUUUUGAACUUUGUGGUCAAAUGCGAUUAGACGAUGGUGGACGUUGGCAUGAUUAUCGGUGUGGACCAGGUUUCAGUACUUACCACUACUGCUGUAUGU